CUGAAAGAAGUACUGAAAACUCAGCUGUCAAUCAAGCGCUACGCCUCCUUUGGUGCGUCAUGCUGUAGGAUGGCCUGCUAUUUCAUGUGCAUUUUAACACUUGUGCAUUUGCAUGACAGACCCGUGACUUGCAAAUAAGCCUGGAUCUCUCUUGCUGCUUUCAAACAGGUGGCUCACUUCUGCACACGCCAGCAGAGGAACACAGCAACCAGGUCAGCCAAAACCCAGAUGCAACCCUCCUAGAUCAGGAUCCUGGUUCACCAUCUGAGCUUUGGCGUAGACGUGCUGUCAGAGUUUGCUACGAGCCAGUGUCUACCGGUCUUCCAUCUGUGGGAGCGCUUACCCUACAGAGUCCUGCUUUAAUCUGUACUGAGAGCUCUUUGCCGGGACCGUCAGCUUGUGAGGAGCCCACGCCGCACAACAGACAGGAGAAUGUAGCUGGGUUAGACCGGCCAGCAAGCAAUGACAUCUUCCUCUCAGAGUCAGAGGCUAUUAGGAACACCUUAGCUGUAAAGGAGGAAACGUGCAGGAGUCUAAAUAAAGUAGAGACUGGAUGUGCAGGAACUGAGCUACAAAACAGUAGAAGACAAAUAGAGAGUUCUGGGAAGUGCCAAAAAUCAGAACAUAGCAGCAGGACAGAGGCCUUAAAACUUCUGAACCAAGGGCAGCCUUCCAAGUCAGCGGACGUCUGGGAUAAUCAAGGAUUCAAUUCAUCAGGGGAGACCCAAGUAGAGGAGACUGGGAGUUGUCAAGAGGGAAGAGGAGAUUUAGAAUGCACUGGGAGGAGUCAAGCGGAAUCCAAAAGCAGUGGACAGAGUCAAGCAAGGACAGGGAACAGUGAGACUCAAGAGGAACGCAAAACAAGUGACUCAGAAACAUCAAAGAAUCCAAGUGUCCAAGGUGAAGAUCUAACUGACACUCCAGGGGUGAGUUACAUCCAUUAUCAAACAGUUUGUUGAACCAUAUCAUUUCAUUUGGUACGA
rnacentral:lncRNA from 1 species